rnacentral:rRNA from 1 species
GACGAACGCUGGCGGCGUGCCUAAUACAUGCAAGUCGAGCGGACGGAUGGGAGCUUGCUCCCAGACCGUCAGCGGCGGCCGGGUGAGUAACACGUGGGCAACCUGCCUGUAAGACUGGGAUAACUCCGGGAAACCGGGGCUAAUACCGGAUAACUCUUUCCCUCACCUGAGGGAAAGCUGAAAGAUGGCAUCUCGCUAUCACUUACAGAUGGGCCCGCGGCGCAUUAGCUAGUUGGUGAGGUAACGGCUCACCAAGGCGACGAUGCGUAGCCGACCUGAGAGGGUGAUCGGCCACACUGGGACUGAGACACGGCCCAGACUCCUACGGGAGGCAGCAGUAGGGAAUCUUCCGCAAUGGACGAAAGUCUGACGGAGCAACGCCGCGUGAGUGAUGAAGGUUUUCGGAUCGUAAAACUCUGUUGUCAGGGAAGAACAAGUACCGGAGUAACUGCCGGUACCUUGACGGUACCUGAGCAGAAAGCCACGGCUAACUACGUG